UCCAUAUUUACAGAUGCUGUGUUUUUUUGUGUCUGUCUAGAGUUUAACUGAAUCCUAGAAAAAUUAUUUGAUUCUCCACCCUCCAUCAAAAUUUAAGCAAACCAGGUACACUUGGUAUACCUAGUCUAAUUGUUAUGUUUAACAUUUGACACAGAAAACUUAUCAGUAGGAAGUCAUGAGAUCAAAAUUUAGCUUACCAAUGGGUGUACCACAAGACUUUAAGGGAAGUUCAUAUCGGGUUAUGCCUUUAUUUUAAAAAAAAUGUAUGAAAACCUCAUAGGAUCUUAGCUAGUUCUUUUUUCUCCUUCAUCCACUAGUACCAUGUUGCCACAUUAAAUGGAUUAGGGCUAUAAAAGUUGUCUGUUGUAAGUCAAACAGUUGAAGUUCCUAUGCUAGUUAUCAAAAGCUCAUCUAUUUGUUUGGAUUGUUUUCAUAUGAACAUGGUAGGCUAAAUUAUCUGUGUUCUCUUUAAUAACUGUAUAUUUGAAUCCUUUUAUUGACCAUGAUCAUGUUCACCAUUUUUUUUCCCAUUUCAUGCAUCAAUUAUCACCUUUGUUGACCAUCCUUUUAGUUCUGCACAAAGCAAGAAAGUAUCGCCUCUGAUAUAUAUAGAUGUGAGCAGGAGACCACCUGCUCAAAGUCAUCAGUUUGUGAACCUUGCUAAAUCAGUUUGCCCUUGACCUAAUGUAUAAGGGAUUCAGCCUCUGGUAUUUGGAGUAUUCUCCUUUUAUUAAUUGCUUGUUUCAACAACAAAGUACCAAUUUGACAUAUAGUCUUGCAAAUUUAUUAAAUACUUCAAGAUGAUCAUACCAAAUUGAUGCUGGAUGAUGGAAGGAAGGAAUGCAAGGGCAAUCUCAAAAUAGGCUUGCCACCGAUGAGGACACCUCCAAGAAGAUAAUAGCAAGAUAAUUCUUAGAAGAUCCCAUUUCUACACUAGAAGAGGAUAAUUUAAUUCCAAACAACCUGUCACUUUCCCCUUAACUCAUCUUUGACUAGAAGGGAUGAAUGUAGAACAUAUGAGAAGCCAUUAUGAAAUAUUAAAAUACAACACAUCAUACUAAAAGUUUCCAUAAUAAACUGCAAGACAAUAAUCAAAUGCUUUACUGCCUACAAUUAAUGACAGGUCUCCUAUAAAUUCUAGGCAUAUAACUUGGAGAAAUGCCACGCUUUACUGCCUACAAUUAAUGACAGGUCUCCUAUAAAUUCUAGGCAUAUAACUUGGAGAAAUGCAAAGGUCAAUUCAAGGGAAACUUCUGGUGUCAUAAUCAACGUUCUUUUUCCUUGAAGUGUUUAUUGUUAGUACUGGCAUUAUUCUUUGAUGUUCACUUUAGAAGGCAACUAGACAUUCAAGCUCUCUAUACCUUAUCCAAUUGUCUUUGACCGUCCAGAUUACAAAAUUGUUUUACAUUGUAUCUAUCUUGUCUGGUCUCUAGUAAUACAUGUUGGACAAUUGACUACUUAUUCAGUAACAAGUAGGUAAAUAUACAUCUAGAUCUUCCAAACAGUUUACCCUAGCAUAAGAUGUUGAGGGGGCUGAAGUGUAAGAAUUUGACCAGAAAAUAAAAAAGAAAGCAGGUCUGGAAAACAUAAAGAAAAGAUGGCGGCUAGAAAAAGGAUCUGAAAACAGAGAAGAAUGGUUCUCUAGGACAUCAGCAUAAGGAAAAGAAAGGGAAUAAAGAAAGAAGAAAGAAUUGGAGGAAGAGGACAAGAAUGAGAAAACUAGCAGAAAAGGAAAAAAAUUUGGAGGACAGAAGAAGUAGCAAACAAACUAUAAAAGGGAAGAAGAAGAGAAAAGAGCAAAGAAUUAUCAUAACUGGAAAGCAAGAAGGAAGAAAAGGAAGAAAAGAAACAACAAUGAGAAUAAAGAAUGAAGAGAAGAGGAGGAACGGCCAGAGUGUUAGAGGAUGGUGGAUGAAGAAGUAAAGAAAGAGAGACAACAAGAAGGGAAAAGAAGAAAGAAUGAAGAGAAGAGGAGGAAUGUCCAGAGUGCUAGAGGAUGGAGGAUAAAGAAAGACAAAAGAAACAGGAAAGAGAAGAAGAAAGAAUGAAGAGAAAAGGAGGUACAGCCAGAGUGCUAGAGGAUGGAGGAUAAAGUAAGAGGAAAAAAGAAAGAAGACAAAACAUCGGAGAAAGCAAGAAAAGAAAUAAAGAAGUGAAAACCGGGGAAAGAGAAAGUAGGGGCUGGCGGACAGAGGGUAAAGAAAGAAGGAAAAGAAAAUAGAGGCAGGAGGAUGGAGGAGAAAGAAAAAUAAAUAAAACACUUAACUGCUUCUGGUGAAACCAGUGGUGGCCAUCGAAUAGGCUUAUGAAGUGACUAGGGAGAGCUAAUAGGAUCGUCUCUCUGAUAAUCCUCUAUUCUCUUCUUUCUUCUUUCCCGCUUUUCUUUCUUGUGCCCAUGGAUGGUUAUGUAGUUGAUGCACAAAAUCUUUUCUAUCCUAUGGAAGGAUAAGUAACUAACACCUCACUCACCCAUCUCCAAUGGUGUGUAAGCACAGCCCAGGUUGGCUGCUUAUGUGUCGUUCCCAUGUGGCUAUGUAGGAUGCUUAGGUGCCUAAGCAGACUCUUUAAUAACACUGUGCUAUGAGUUACUUUGUCGUGCUUAAUUAAGCCUUAGUCUGAUCAGGUUUAGUUUGAUAUUAAUUUUGAGCUUGAAAAUUGAGAUGAAGCUUUGAUCUUUUGUUAUUUGACUGAGCCUAAUUGUUAAGGCCUGAUAAUUCAUCAUCUUCUUACCCCCUUAUCUCUCCUAACCAACCUUUGAAGCUAGUCAUCAUCUCCUAUUGCCACCUUUAGCCAAUUGUUCAAUUGACCCCUUCAGUUAUGUAAAGUACCAAGUAACAAGAAACAUUAUGAACAGCAUUACCAUUUUAUUAGCCCUAAGUUCCUAAAAUGGCACAAAGGUGGCCUCUCAAUAGAUGGUGUCAUCUGCAUUUUGUUCCUUGAUAGUGUUCUCACUGUUGGAUGAACUUUCUUAAUUCAGUACAUGGUCACCUCCAAGUUGAGGGCCUUGUGCAAGCUACUGAUCUAAGUGAUCCUGAUGUGGGUUCCAUGAACUAUCUAGAUCAUAAUGUUCUUCACCAAACCAAUGACAUGGAGAAAAAUGUUGAUUGCCCAUCUACAACAAUGAGUGAGGGCAAUUGACCAAUUGCAAAUCAUCUAUUGGUUGCUCUGGCACAAGAUGUGGAUGAGCCUAUAUUAAUGAGUUCACAUGAGAUUGCAAGUGAACACUACAAUGUGACUUUGACUACAUGCAAAAAGGGGC
rnacentral:lncRNA from 1 species